rnacentral:rRNA from 1 species
GACGAACGCUGGCGGCGUGCUUAACACAUGCAAGUCGAACGGAAAGGCCCUGCUUUUGUGGGGUGCUCGAGUGGCGAACGGGUGAGUAACACGUGAGUAACCUGCCCUUGACUUUGGGAUAACUUCAGGAAACUGGGGCUAAUACCGGAUAGGAGCUCCUGCUGCAUGGUGGGGGUUGGAAAGUUUCGGCGGUUGGGGAUGGACUCGCGGCUUAUCAGCUUGUUGGUGGGGUAGUGGCUUACCAAGGCUUUGACGGGUAGCCGGCCUGAGAGGGUGACCGGCCACAUUGGGACUGAGAUGCGGCCCAGACUCCUACGGGAGGCAGCAGUGGGGAAUAGUGCACAAUGGGCGGAAGCCUGAUGCAGCAACGCCGCGUGCGGGAUGACGGCCUUCGGGUUGUAAACCGCUUUCGCCUGUGACGAAGCGUGAGUGACGGUAAUGGGUAAAGAAGCACCGGCUAACUACGUG